AUUGAACGCUGGCGGCAUGCUUUACACAUGCAAGUCGAACGGUAACAGGCCGCAAGGUGCUGACGAGUGGCGAACGGGUGAGUAAUGCAUCGGAACGUGCCCAGUCGUGGGGGAUAACGCAGCGAAAGCUGCGCUAAUACCGCAUACGAUCUAUGGAUGAAAGCGGGGGACCGUAAGGCCUCGCGCGAUUGGAGCGGCCGAUGUCAGAUUAGGUAGUUGGUGGGGUAAAGGCUCACCAAGCCAACGAUCUGUAGCUGGUCUGAGAGGACGACCAGCCACACUGGGACUGAGACACGGCCCAGACUCCUACGGGAGGCAGCAGUGGGGAAUUUUGGACAAUGGGCGCAAGCCUGAUCCAGCAAUGCCGCGUGCAGGAAGAAGGCCUUCGGGUUGUAAACUGCUUUUGUACGGAACGAAACGGUCCUGGUUAAUACCCGGGGCUAAUGACGGUACCGUAAGAAUAAGCACCGGCUAACUACGUGCCAGCCGCCGCGGUAA
rnacentral:rRNA from 1 species